AACGAACGCUGGCGGCAUGCCUAACACAUGCAAGUCGAACGAGACCUUCGGGUCUAGUGGCGCACGGGUGCGUAACGCGUGGGAACCUGCCCUUAGGUUCGGAAUAACUCCCCGAAAGGGGUGCUAAUACCGGAUAAUGUCUUCGGACCACAGAUUUAUCGCCUUUGGAUGGGCCCGCGUUGGAUUAGCUUGUUGGUAGGGUAAAAGCCUACCAAGGCGACGAUACAUAGCUGGUCUGAGAGGAUGAUCAGCCACACUGGGACUGGGACACGGCCCAGACUACUACGGGAGGCAGCAGUGGGGAAUAUUGGACAAUGGGCGAAAGCCUGAUCCAGCAAUGCCGCGUGAGUGAUGAAGGCCUUAGAGUUGUAAAGCUCUUUUACCCGGGAUGAUAAUGACAGUACCGGGAGAAUAAGCUCCGGCUAACUCCGUG
rnacentral:rRNA from 1 species